rnacentral:misc_RNA from 1 species
AACUUUUGACAAUGGAUCUCUUGGUUCUCGCAUCGAUGAAGAACGCAGCGAAACGCGAUAGGUAAUGUGAAUUGCAGAAUUCAGUGAAUCAUCGAAUCUUUGAACGCACAUUGCACCCUUUGGUAUUCCGAGGGGUAUGUCUGUUUGAGCGUCAUAAAAACCCAUCGGAGAACAGUUUGAUCUGUCCCCGGCUUUGAGCUUCUUGGAAGAUACCCUAGGGUCUAUUCCUUGGCUUUAAUGUUAGAAGAUUGCGGGUAGCCAACAUCAGAACAGGACGUAAUAAGCUUUGCCUCUUCGUUUAAUUCUGUGUUGGACUUGCUCUGCCAUUUAAACCAUUUCAUGAUUUUGACCUCAGAUCAGAUAAGGAUACCCGCUGAACUUAAGCAUAUCAAUAAGCGGAGGCU